UGCCCCGCCCGCAUCGCCCCGCCCUCUCCUCUCCCUCUCCUCUCCCUCUUCCUCCCUCAGUCCUCGCCGCCCCGCCCGCAUCACCGCCGCCCCGCCCCUCAGACCACGCCACAGUGGACCUCUCUCCUCGUCUCCCUCGUGCCACGCCGCCCGCAACCUCCCCCCUCCCAUCAUCAGAAUGGAAGGGAAGAGAAGACGGAGCGCGAGCAGGUUCGUCGGCGGCCAAGGCGCUCGCAGAUCCGCCGACGCCAUCGUCUGACCCCGGCUUCCGAGUGUGCUCACACCAUGGACUCCUCGAGACGCCGCCCUCCCUCCUACUCCAACCCUAACCCUAACCCUAGCAUUGCUGCUGCUGGUCAAGGUGCUCGCACGCGUCCAGCAGCGAACCCUAGCCUCGAACGACAGCAGCGGCCAUCACUUCUAUCCUAGG